rnacentral:rRNA from 1 species
AGGAUGAACGCUGGCGGUCUGCUUAACACAUGCAAGUCGAACGGGCGUAGCAAUACGUUAGUGGCGGACGGGUGAGUAACGCGUGAGAAUCUACCUUCAGGACGGAGACAACAGUUGGAAACGACUGAUAACCCCCGAUGUACUGAAAAGGCAAAUAUUUAUAGCCUGAAGAAGAGCUCGCGUCCGAUUAGCUAGUUGGAGAGGUAAAAGCUCACCAAGGCGACGAUCGGUAGCUGGUCUGAGAGGACGAUCAGCCACACUGGGACUGAGACACGGCCCAGACUCCUACGGGAGGCAGCAGUGGGAAUUUUCGGCAAUGGGGGAAACCCUGACCGAGCAACGCCGCGUGCAGGAAGACGGCCUUCGGGUUGUAAACUGCUUUUCUUUGGUACGAGCAAGGACGGUACCAGAGGAUCAGCCCGGCUCACUACGUGCCAGCAGCCGC